rnacentral:rRNA from 1 species
AACGGAGGGUGCAAGCGUUGUUCGGAAUUACUGGGCGUAAAGCGCGUGCAGGUGGUUUUUUAAGUUUCGUGUGAAAUCCCAUGGCUCAACCAUGGAACGGCACGGAAAACUGGAAGGCUUGAGUACGGGAGAAGAGUGCGGAAUUCCCAGUGUAGAGGUGAAAUUCGUAGAUAUUGGGAGGAACACCGGUGGCGAAAGCGGCUCUCUAGACCGAUACUGACGCUCAUACGCGAGAGCGUGGGUAGCAAACAGG